AUUGAACGCUGGCGGAAUGCUUUACACAUGCAAGUCGAACGGCAGCACGGGGGCAACCCUGGUGGCGAGUGGCGAACGGGUGAGUAAUACAUCGGAACGUGCCCGGUCGUGGGGGAUAACGUAGCGAAAGUUACGCUAAUACCGCAUACGAUCUGAGGAUGAAAGCGGGGGACCUUCGGGCCUCGCGCGAUCGGAGCGGCCGAUGUCAGAUUAGGUAGUUGGUGGGGUAAAGGCCUACCAAGCCGACGAUCUGUAGCUGGUCUGAGAGGACGACCAGCCACACUGGGACUAAGACACGGCCCAGACUCCUACGGGAGGCAGCAGUGGGGAAUUUUGGACAAUGGGCGCAAGCCUGAUCCAGCCAUUCCGCGUGCAGGACGAAGGCCUUCGGGUUGUAAACUGCUUUUGUAUGGAACGAAAAGGCUCUGGCUAAUACCUGGGGCUCAUGACGGUACCGUAAGAAUAAGCACCGGCUAACUACGUG
rnacentral:rRNA from 1 species